rfam:Cephalotus follicularis DNA, scaffold: scaffold1821, isolate: St1.
AAACCAUGAUGAGGACACUCUAAGAGAAGAUCCUUAAAACGUUCCAUACAGCUAGAAAAUGAUUCAUUAGGUUUUUGACAAAAUUGGAGAAUGUCGUUCCUAAGUUU